rnacentral:lncRNA from 1 species
GUGGCUUACAAAAGAAUGUGGUGUUACUCCUACCAUCUUUUAUGGACAGUUUGUAUCAGAUAAAGUGGGCAAAAAAAAUCCUUAUUAGUGAUAUUUUCUUUUUUUAACUGCAAACAGAGUCUCAGACACAAAAGCAGAAGAACACCUGAUUUUUUUUUCCCAGGGUGAGGUUUACGUUUCACCACUUCUGUGGGGACUCCUCAGAUCCAGGGAACAAUAAAUCAGAUUAUUAUUCCAGCUCCUACAAUCAGCUCCUCAUUCUUUUAUGUGUGUCUACAAAACUGCAGAUUGGAGCAAUCUCCUUCUCCUUCUCCUUCUCCUUCUCCUUCUCCUUCUCCUUCUCCUUCUCCUUCUCCUUCUCCUUCUCCUUCUCCUUCUCCUUCUCCUUCUCCUUCUUCUCUUCCCCUUCUCCUUCCCUGCCCACUGCAGGGAGCUGGGGAGGGACCAACAGGAUCCUGCAAGAGGAACUCCACAGGUUUCUUUCAGGACACUCAGCACUGCUCAGAAAACCACUGACUGCUGCUCCCAGUUUGCUUUUGUAUGGAAAUGAAGCUUGCAAGUAGUUACCAGCCAGGUUCCCCUGGAGCUGGGAUGCUGAAGGAUCACUGGGAAUUUUCAGGAAGAUUUUCCCUCAGAGGAACCUCCUGGAUGAAGAAUUGCCCAGCAGGUGAGGGUGGGGUGCCACCCCUUUGCCUCAACAGGAUUUUGUGUGGCCAGCAGUUGCACCCAGGAUUGUUUGUGCUCAGUGGGGAACAUGAAGGGACUCCAAAAUUAUGGAUAAUAUGUAAUAAGGGUGAGAAAUUCCUUCUUUUUGUACCAAAAAAAAAUGCAGUGCAGACAAGUUCAGGAUAAAGAAGAGCCUUGGGUGAGCUUCUUCUAGCUCAAGGUUGGAUUUGAGACCUCCUGAAGCUUCAUCCAGUCUCACUUAUUCUCCCAAGAAAGUGGCAAAAAAAGGACAAUUCAUGAUUUUUAAAACUCUAAAAAACUCUGAGAAUAAACAUUGUGUUGACUCUUCA